GAUGAACGCUGACAGAAUGCUUAACACAUGCAAGUCAACUGUGGCGGACGGGUGAGUAACGCGUAAAGAACUUGCUUCACAGCUAGGGACAACAUUUGGAAACGAAUGCUAAUACCUGAUACUGUGAGAGAGCUUUGCGUCCCAUUAGCUAGUGGGAGAGGUAACGGCUCACCAGGGCGAGGAUGGGUAGCCGGCCUGGGAGGGUGAUCGGCCACAAGGGGACGCAGACACGGCCCUUAAGCCUACGGGAGAGAGGAGUGGGGAAGAGUGGCCAAUGGACCAAAGUCUGAUCCAGCAAUUCUGUGUGGACGAUGAAGUUUUCGGAAUGUAAAGUGCUUUCAGUUGCGAAGCGGUACCAACAGAAGAAGCGACGGCUAAAUACGUGCCAGCAGCCGCGGUAAUAC
rnacentral:rRNA from 1 species